GGCAACCCGUUUUACAGAAAACGAAAAGAGCCUGCUGACGGUACUCGCGAACGACUACAGGCAUAUUGUGGAAUGCAAGAAAACUGAUGUCGCGUUGUUGACCAAGAAGAAUGAGACAUGGAAAGAAAUAGCAAAAUAAUAUAAUGCCAACCACGGGGUUACGCGGCGCGAUUACCUGCAACUUAAAAAAAAUGCUGGAAGAACCUGAACCAAAAGCGGAAAGAGGAAGCUGCGAAAGAAAAGCGAGAGCGCCACAAAACUGGACAGCUCCCCUACUUCCCUCCGACACCCGGCUUCAUCUUCGCAUAGACCCGAAAGUAUCUUCCCUGACGAGAGACGCGUGCUCUAAUCUCCCCGUGCGUCUGGUCCCCUUUUUCGUAACCUAACUCUAUCUCUCUUCGCAAACUUCGAACAGGGGCGGCACUUACGCCUCCCCUAACGUGGGUCUAUGGGUCCCAGCCUCUGAAGACCCAGUGAAGGGCCCGAAGUGAUGUGCCUCAGCGUCUGCAGUGGAAGCUCGCCAUCUGCUUAGGCUGUGUCCAGGGACAAAGGCUACAAGAGAGAACCUGCCUAGAGGUGCCGGGUUAAGGACGGACCACCCCACAGACUACGAACGGUUACUUAUGGACAGACGCCGUCUCCUGUCCGUAUCGUAAGGAAGGUGGAGCCUCGUUUCUUCGGCGUUCGCUGCACUUGCACCUGUUUUUCGUGGUGACCUUUCGCGAGCAGGGCCUUUGUGUGCUCAAGACGCCAUCGCCGCCGACGCAGGAAGGUCAGCGAGGCGAGGCUUCACCGUCGGGCCGAGCUUUGAAAGGAUGAGACCACAAGCUCUGGAAAGUGUGCAUACACAAUCUCGCAGCCCCGUGAAGGCGGCCUUCCGCAAAUUGCAUUAUACUGCAUCACCCGUCUGCAGGUUAUAGCGGCGAUGACAUUAAAUGGUCACUACAAGGAAGCGUAGAGGAAAUAAGUGUUGUUCUGUUGGAGGCAACAGAGUGGGCGCCAGGUAUGGGAAAACGCCGUCGAUUGUGUAUGAAAUGAUUAGGUUAUGUGAUGAAAUUAGGAUCUAUGCACGCAUAAGAGUCAGCAGGCGCAAGACACGGGUAAUGAGAGAUUUCUGGGAUACGCUUGAGUUAUGCAGCGUACGUUAAAUAUAUAGUUGAUGGUGAUGAAAGAAAAGCGCUAACACACUCUAUUUUGAUAAACUGCUUGUUUAACCUUCCACAUAUUUCGAUGUUCCGGUGAAUCACAUAUUUCGAAAUGGCCGGGCGGAAUCCCGUCUGGUCAGGUACGUGAUAGCAGAUAAAAACAAAACACCGAACAAGUUAAAGCAUUUAAGAUGCAGGCGUUUUAGCUGCUCCUAUGGAGCUUUCUUAACAACGAAAGCAAGUGUCCAAAAACACGUGGUUAACUAUAUACGCCUUGUGACAUGCUUCAGGCAUCGCACGUGCCUGAAGAAGAGUGCGGGAAGUUUGCCUGCGCCCCUCUUCAUCGUACGCACAGUAUAGUGUUCAAAUACAUUCUAGAUAUACGGACACGUAAUCAAUUUUGUCUGUUGGUCGUGUGGCCUGUGGAUACGUCAUGCUGUGCGGUGACGUUAUAUGCAGCCUUGUGUCUCGUGUAGCUUAUAGAAUUCUCCUGUUGCCUUUGUUUGAAAAAUUCUUGGUAUCGCUGACUUGUACGUGCUUGUUCGCUGUCUACGCACCACAACUUGUAUGUACGACGCCAGGUGACUUUCCUGUUUCCAACUGCUCUUCGACGUUCGUAAAACUGCUUCUGAGCUUUGGUGUCGGAACGUAUACGCCGCUUGCACACCGGAAGGGCUUCAGAUAUCCGAGCAAAAAUGGAACAUCAGGUCCGGAAACUGGCCUAUAGCACAGAUUAGGGGCUCGAUUGUACAGGGGUUGCUAUUAUAAACGCUGCUAAAUUCCGCCAUGUUGACGUUUUGAGCCAGAGAAAAACUGCGUAGCCGGCCUAGCUGUUAGCCAAUGAUAGCCAACAAGGAAUAUGUGCUCGCAUGUUGCUGACAUGAGCACUGUAUAAUCACUCGCCUUGGUCCUGUUUAUACUGUUGUUGCUUUCAUUUCUUUCUUUUAUGCAUGUCCAAAUUGUCUAAUAUGUCAUUUGCUGUGCGCUUCUUAGUGUUCUUUCGUCAGUUUUGAAGUGUGGUGCAGGCUGUAAACAGGACGUCAAUUUGUAUUGCUGCGAAAAUUAUGAAAAUCGAGGCACACAUGCCGAAAAGCCUUCACGGGCUUCACCUUUAGCAUUGCUAUCAUGUUGUAUGCAUGUGUAGCAAAAAAAUUGUGCCAGAACCCAUCUCCGAUGGCUGCCGACGGUGCAGCGAUUAGCAUUCAAGCAUUGUAGCGACACAACGUGUUGUGGAAGUCGCAUGUACUUAAAGCCUCUGUAGUGAUCAUCCCGAGAAUUCUGAUGCUUCGGGAAUAUGCGGAAUAUACUGUUACCGAAGAUACCUGCCUAAUUUGCUAUGGCAGUCGUUUACCAGGGUUUCCCUGCCAUGGGCAUGACAACGACGCAGUGACGAUGGUAGAAAGGCCAAGAAGGAGUGACGUUGAUGGAACGACAGAGGUGGUAUUACGGCGAUGGCAUGACCACAAUUAUACAGAUGACGAUUCUGAAAUUAUGGUGGCCUUACGACGACAGCAUAAGGUCAACGAGAGGUACGAAGAGUGUAUGACGACAAUGGAGGAUACCGAAGCUGGGGCGCUAUAACGAAAAACUUUUCCGAACUUUUCUAUUCCAAUUCUGCAAUCAGCCCUCCGCGAUUGGUGAAAAACUUUUUUGAGCCACCCCCGCUUCACCUGUCUGUUACGACGCGACGUCACGAAAACCGCGACAGCUGCCCAUCUGAUAUGACGUGUACACACAUAGAUUAUCAUGAUUUGACCGAACGAAAGAAAAAUAGUUAUUUCUGAUUCGACGCCUUUUCGCCAUAAGUCCUCGGCUAUUGGUCAAGAGUUCUCGGGCUGCACGCACUUCACCUGCCUGUCACGCGACGCCACAAAACCGCAAAAGCUCACCGCGUCAAAGUGACGUGUACGCGUUAAAGAUGCAUUAAUAUGCCGAACGAAACUGAAUUUUCUUCUGAAUAGCCGCAGGCUGCCCCGUUCCGAAAGGAAUAAAAGAUGGCUGCCGACGAUUGUUCAGGCACUGGCUACUCGCACCUGCCGGAGAGCUUGGGUCUAUUUGCGUGUAAUAAAUCUUUUUGCGUGGCCGUGUAACGUUUUCGAGCACUUUCGGCAUGUUUACUACCUAGUUCUGCCAACUCUUCUUUGCUGAGGAUGCGUUUUAGCGUCAUUCUUAAGGGUUAAUUCGUUGCAUGCCGCCGCGAUUGUCGACGAGCCACCGUAAGCUAAGUAAGGGAAAGCGGCACCACCCUCCUUAUCCGGUUAUCGAAUUUCAGUGCAGUGGCUCGGCCCCAUCGAAUCCCUCUACCCUUGAGCGUGCUCCUCGCCUCUUGUGUACCAGUUAGAUAAAACAAGACACUCAGUGUAGGCAAUGUUAUUCGUUUUUCAAGCAAAUAAAAGUGACCUCCUA